rnacentral:rRNA from 1 species
GAUGAACGCUGGCGGCGUGCCUAAUACAUGCAAGUCGAGCGAACAGACGAGGCGCUUGCUCCUCUGACGUUAGCGGCGGACGGGUGAGUAACACGUGGAUAACCUACCUAUAAGACUGGGAUAACUUCGGGAAACCGGAGCUAAUACCGGAUAAUCUAUUGAACCGCAUGGUUCAAUAGUGAAAGACGGUUUUGCUGUCACUUAUAGAUGGAUCCGCGCCGCAUUAGCUAGUUGGUAAGGUAACGGCUUACCAAGGCGACGAUGCGUAGCCGACCUGAGAGGGUGAUCGGCCACACUGGAACUGAGACACGGUCCAGACUCCUACGGGAGGCAGCAGUAGGGAAUCUUCCGCAAUGGGCGAAAGCCUGACGGAGCAACGCCGCGUGAGUGAUGAAGGUCUUCGGAGCGUAAAACUCUGUUAUUAGGGAAGAACAAAUGUGUAAGUAACUAUGCACGUCUUGACGGUACCUAAUCAGAAAGCCACGGCUAACUACGUG